rnacentral:rRNA from 1 species
GAUGAACGCUGGCGGCGUGCCUAAUACAUGCCAGUCGAGCGAACAGACGAGGAGCUUGCUCCUCUGACGUUAGCGGCGGACGGGUGAGUAACACGUGGAUAACCUACCUAUAAGACUGGGAUAACUUCGGGAAACCGGAGCUAAUACCGGAUAAUAUAUUGAACCGCAUGGUUCAAUAGUGAAAGACGGUUUUGCUGUCACUUAUAGAUGGAUCCGUGCCGCAUUAGCUAGUUGGUAAGGUAACGGCUUACCAAGGCGACGAUGCGUAGCCGACCUGAGAGGGUGAUCGGCCACACUGGAACUGAGACACGGUCCAGACUCCUACGGGAGGCAGCAGUAGGGAAUCUUCCGCAAUGGGCGAAAGCCUGACGGAGCAACGCCGCGUGAGUGAUGAAGGUCUUCGGAUCGUAAAACUCUGUUAUUAGGGAAGAACAAAUGUGUAAGUAACUAUGCACGUCUUGACGGUACCUAAUCAGAAAGCCACGGCUAACUACGUG